UACGUAGGGUGCAAGCGUUAAUCGGAAUUACUGGGCGUAAAGCGUGCGCAGGCGGUGAUGUAAGACAGAUGUGAAAUCCCCGGGCUCAACCUGGGAACUGCAUUUGUGACUGUAUGACUAGAGUACGGUAGAGAGGGGUGGAAUUCCUGGUGUAGCAGUGAAAUGCGUAGAUAUCAGGAGGAACAUCGAUGGCGAAGGCAGCCCCUUGGACCUGUACUGACGCUCAUGCACGAAAGCGUGGGGAGCAAACAGG
rnacentral:rRNA from 1 species